rnacentral:rRNA from 1 species
UACGUAGGCAGCGAGCGUUGUUCGGAGUUACUGGGCGUAAAGGGUGUGUAGGCGGUUUUCUAAGUUUGGUGUGAAAUCUCCCGGCUCAACCGGGAGGGUGCGCCGAAAACUGGGAGACUAGAGUGCGGGAUGGGAGAGUAGAAUUCCUGGUGUAGCGGUGAAAUGCGUAGAUAUCGGGAGGAACACCUGUGGCGAAGGCGGCCCCUGGUUGGAUACUGACGCUGAUACGCGAAAGCGUGGGGAGCAAACAGG